GGUUUCUCCCUUCUGACGAAUCACGAUGUCAUUAUAUUUGGUGUCUGUGGGGAAUCAGGACUGUUACUUUGAAAAAAUUAGAGUGUUUAAAGCAGGCUCACGCUUGAAUACAUUAGCAUGGAAUAAUGAAAUAGGACGUUUGAUUCUAUUUUGUUGGUUUCUAGGAUCGACGUAAUGAUUAAUAGGGAUAGUUGGGGGCAUUAGUAUUCAAUUGUCAGAGGUGAAAUUCUUGGAUUUAUUGAAGACUAACUACUGCGAAAGCAUUUGCCAAGGAUGUUUUCAUUAAUCAAGAACGAAAGUUAGGGGAUCGAAGACGAUCAGAUACCGUCGUAGUCUUAACCAUAAACUAUGCCGACUAGGGAUCGGAUGAUGUUAAUUUUUUAAUGACUCAUUCGGCGCCUUACG
rnacentral:rRNA from 1 species